UUAACCCAUACCAAUUAGAUCAAUCAUGUGAUAACUGAUUAGAUGAGACCUAAACCCAAAAUCUCUCCAUAAAUAUUAAGUCCAAUGGUCUUCCACCAUUAUAGAUGUGCGGGCAUGCUACCGACAUUAAUUAUACUCGACUGGUCAUAGUGGUUCAGUUGCAUCGAGAACACAUAACCACUCUAUUAGCAAAAAGUUGCUCCAGAGUAAAGAUGAGGUUGGAUCCAAUAACUAUUAGAUGAGGGACCCUAUGAUGGCUUUGCACCUGCCUG
rnacentral:lncRNA from 1 species